GUGGGCUUAACCCCCCAUUGAGAUAGCACCCUAUGUUUAUGAGUACCUUCGUUUCCUCGGCAGGCUUGCCCGCCGCUGGACAUCAAAAACCCUUUGUAGUAGCAGUAACUUCAGUUAAAAACAAAUUUUAAAACUUUCAACAACGGAUCUCUUGGUUCU
rnacentral:misc_RNA from 1 species